rnacentral:misc_RNA from 1 species
AGAAAAAGAAAAUGCUCUCUUCGAAAGCAAACGCGGCGCUGGCGCGCCUGAAAGAGAUUGAAGAAAAGUACAAGAGACGCAAGGAACAAAAAUGGAGAGAAGACGCGGAUAGCUCAAUAAGUAGCAUUUCGAUAGCUCUUUCGGAAAACCUCUCAGGAGAAUCAAAGGAAUUCCCAAAGAAAGUCGGAAAGAUCAAGCUUGACAUAAAAAUGCCAGAUACUCGAUUUGAAAGACACGCAGAGGAAAUGAAACUUUCGUUGAAAAGUGAGAAAUCGACGGACAAAGCGAGCACAAAAUCUUUCGAAGACGCUGCCGAGGUCGAUCUUGAUGCCACAAUGUCAUUAGAUGAUAAAUCGUCACGUUUCGCAAAAAAGCAAGAAAGUCCUAUCUCGGACAUAAUGAUAAUUCAGGAGAACAACUCGAUCGAAAGCGUGCUCGAUGACUCGGUGACAACGUCGAAAUCACUCUCACAUUCGAAAACAUCGCGGCGAAACGAUUCCAUAGCCUCCGGAUGUGAAGAGAAGACAACAGUGAGGUCCAAGAGAGAAAAGGAAUCUGACAAAUCAUCCGAAAUUUCAAGAGGAAAAGCGACAUCUCAUAAUUUGUCUAUCGCGAAGCGAUUGAGUUUAUCUAGGAAACAGAAUGAAAUUUCUAAAGCGCGUCUCGAUUUGCGAAAGCAUUCAAUCGAAGAUAAAACGAUCGCUAGAACGAUGAAAAAUACAAACUUUGCAAUUCAAAAUCGUUCAAAUAGUUCGGAAUCUUUGCACAACAGUAGCGUUAUCGAAGAGUCGAUCCGCAUGAUGGAGAACAGCAGUGAAAUUAUUUCGGAACUUUCUUACUCCGAAAAAAACAUGGCUAAAAUUGAUGAUGUUGAGUGUUCUAAACAUUUAACAGCAGAGAACACUUUUGCGUCGGUUUCAACUAGUUCAAAACGUCUGAUAACUGAAAACGGAUAUGCAAAUGACACCUUCGAGGACAUUUCGAGCUCGACCAUUCGAUCGAAAUCAAGAUCACAACGCGAGGAAAUAAUUAAUGAGAAGAAAAAUGUGAUUAAUAGAGUGAGAUCUAAUGCAAAGAAAAUCAAUAUUAAAGAAUAUCAGGACAGUGCUGAAACUUACAGAGAUGAACGAAUCAUUGAACUUGAUCUGACAUUGAAACCAAAUGCAACCAAGGUCGGUUCGAAAUCGUCAAACUAUGUCAGCGACGUCGAAAACAUCAUCGCGCAUCCAGAUAAUAUGACCGAGUACUCGAUAAAAUUGCCAAAAUCUGUCAGUUCGCGCUUGAGAAAUCAGAGAAGUUAUCAACAUCGAAAAAAGUCGUUUCGAGAUGAGAACACUUCAAGCGCCGCAAGUUCCAAUAAAAACAUAUCGGAUUCUUCGAAGUCGUCGACUGGCGACAUGACGAAGACAAACGAGAAGAAAAACUUCUCGAGGAUGACUACUGUCCAACAAGAAAGCAACCGGAAAGAGCGCGAGGAAGCAUCGAACAAAAUGAAUGAAUACUCGGUAAUAGAUGUCAUCAGAUUGCCGGUUGCUGCAGACGAUGAGGAUAGACUUAAAUCGGCGAAAUUUAAUUCAUUAUUAAAGAAGAGUGAAAAAGGAAAUGAGAAUAUUUCUGAAGAGAGUUUGGAUCAUCGGAUUUUACAGGAUGCUGAAUAUGUGCUGAGAAAAUUGCACAAAGAUGCAAUCAACGCGUUAGCCAAGAGACACGCGAACUCGAAAAGCGUAACAGAAGUGUUGGAAAGCCCUUCUGGCAGUAAAACUGAGUCUGAAAUCCGGAGUGCAUCGAAAACGAGAAAAAUGACGGCAAGAGACGAGAAUGAAAGUUACUACUCUACAGAGAAAGAUAGGAUAUCUAAUUGUAAUGAUUGUGAACAAAAUAACGUAAGGAAAAAGAAAAGAGAGAAAAUAAUGAAUAUAAAAUCAGCCGAAACUCGUAAUAGCACUAGAGAUAACGAAGAUAAGGCUUUGAAGUUUGACAGGAAACAAACGCUUAGACUUCGGAAGCGGUUUGUCGAACUGCGACUGCAGCAAGAACGAGAAGACCUCCAAAAAUAUCUACGUGAACUGAAGGACUCAAGACUAGAAUCGGGUUUUACUCAAAGCUAUUUCAGGCCUCUGGAUUUCCCGAAGAUUGCAGAAUUUACGCAGCCUGAUGUAAGCGAUUUCGAUUCGAAGCCGGAUGAUCAGCAUGUCGUACUCCGGGAGAGAAUUUUGGCAAUCAGACGUUGGUUGAAAGAUCAAUAUGUCUUGUAUCGUGACUACUGUACUAUGGCGCAAGCGAUCAAUGCCCACUAUGUUCCCACAACAUUGGAGGAUGCCAAAAAGACGAUACACGAGCUUAGAAAAACGACGAUUGAAAGGUGACGUCGAUGUGCCCACCUGAGACGCGUAGUUAGACCGCACGCGACUCGUUGAAGCUAUUUAUGACAGGUGUCAGAUUUACAUACUUAGAAAUCGUGCGCAGCAGCCGUCCGGCGGCGGUCAAGUGGAGGAGGGGGAGGUGGCACGG